rnacentral:rRNA from 1 species
UACGUAGGGAGCGAGCGUUAUCCGGAAUUAUUGGGUGUAAAGGGUGCGUAGACGGGAAGACAAGUUGGUUGUGAAAUCCCUCGGCUUAACUGAGGAACUGCAACCAAAACUAUCAUUCUUGAGUACUGGAGAGGAAAGUGGAAUUCCUAGUGUAGCGGUGAAAUGCGUAGAUAUUGGGAGGAACACCAGUGGCGAAGGCGGCCUGCUGGACAUUAACUGACGCUGAGGCGCGAAAGCGUGGGGAGCAAACAGG